CCACAGGAGGCCUACAUGCAGCCAUCUGUGCCACCACCGUGUUGCUAGUGAUCCCUGAGAAGUUCCCACAGAUUUUACGAGUACUCAAGACCAACAUCAAUGGGUGGAGGAUAGCCUUUGCCAUCACUGCCAUUAAGGGUUUGGGUCAAAGAUAUGCUCAUGUGGUGUUGAGGAACGCAGACAUUGACCUCAUCAAGAGGGCAGAAGAACUCACGGAGGAUGAGGUGAAACGUGUGAUCACCAUUAUGCAGAAUCCACACCAGUAUAAGAUCCCAGACUGGUUCUUGAACGGAAGGAAGGAUGUAAAAGACAGAAAGGACAGCCAAUGUUCUAGACAACAAGCUCCGUGAAGCCCUGGAGCAACUGAAGACGAUUCGGGUCCAUAGAGGGCUAUGCCGCUUCUGGGGCCUUCGUGUUCCAAGCCAGCACACCAAGACCACUGGGCGUCAUGGUCAUACUGUGGGUGUAUCCAAGAAGAAAUAAAGUCUGUAGGCCUUGUCUGUUAGUAAAUAGUCUA